AUUCUUCUCUUUCCUCCUCUCUCUCUCUCCACCAGCAAUCAGACGACUAAGAAUCUCACCAGCACAUCUCACAGAAACCCUUCAUCUCCAAGCGCCACGAAUGGCCUCCUAGCCGGAGAAGAAGACUAAUCCACUGCCAUGGCCGCUUUCAAGCCAUGGAGUACAGUGCAAAUGCAUGUGCAGGACCUCGAUCGUGAUGCAUCGUGAUGCAAAAUGAUUGGAAAUCCGAACGCAAUUAGGUCUUCAUCAUCUGGUUUAUUUUUCUAUAUUCGUUUGAUAUAUCUCAUAUCCCCCUGAUUUUGCUUUACAUUUGAUAGAUCUCCAAUAUACCCCUUGUUUGCCCGAUUUGCAUGUCUUUGUUAGUGUUAAUUUUCUGGGUUUGACUUCCCCUAUCUCAUCACUCCCUGUUAGUCCAAAUUUGAGGGUAAAGCCAGUUCCGGUGCAUUGUUCUUAAUAUUGAUACUGCUAUUGAUAUGUGAUGACCAAUUGUCACUGUUGUUUGGUAUGACGAUUUUGAUGGGUUUUCUUUUCAAAAAUGUUUCAGUUACGUGAAAGAAGAUCUUCCCCCACAUUUGGAUUCUACUUCUGAACCGCCUCCCCUCUUUGAUGGAACUACUCAGUAUACCCUUCCUUCCUUUCUCUUUGAUUUAGAUACAUACGAAUUCAUAUAGGCAAUCCCAUUUUAUGGGCAUAAUAAAGUUUGGUUUGAUUGUCACUGUUGUAGGAGCAGGUGUCUCAUGAUUGUAGUUGUGAACUGUAGAGCUACUUGUCAUAAUUUUUUAAAGCAUUCUUAUUUGUUGUUAUGCACGAAAUCAGAAGGCUCGAUCUCAAAGUUGUGGUUGCUGGAAUCUGUAAAACAAUUGAUAAUGACAUUCCGGUACUUUUUAUGGCAGCCAUAAACAUGAUGGUUUAUGCUACAGAAUAUCAAAUCCAAUCCCAAUUUGUUUGCUUAACUUUUGUUUGUUUACUACAGGUAAUUGACAAGGCCUUUGGCUUUGAUAUCCCGUUGAGGAGGCUCAAUGUGCCAUAAAUGCAGCACACAUUGAAUCUGAUAGUAUUGAAAAUGGAAUUGGCCUUGUGAAGUUAAUGGGUUGCUACAGUGGGUAUAUUGCAAUGUAUGCUACUCUAGCCAGCCGAGAUGUUGACUGUUGCUUGAUUCCGGAGUCACCCUUUUAUCUCAAAGGACCAGGUGGACUUUUUGACUACAUAGAGAAAAGACAUAAGGAAGACAGACACAUGGUUAUUGUCAUAGCCGAUGGUACAGGACAACAAAUUAAGGGAGUUGGAAGCAUACAGUAUGCAUAAUUUCUGACUAAUUGGUAGUCUUACAUUUUGCUGAAACAUCAACUCAGGUGUAUCAAUUUGAGGUAUCAUUCCCUUCUAUCCCCAAUCUUUGCAAGUUUAUCAUUUUUCGUUUACAAUGUUCCUUGCAUUAUUUAUAUACAUAUGUUCUUUAUGGUAACUUGGCUGCUAUAAUUAUGAACAGUUAGCUUCUUCAAGGUUCUUAUGGUUUUUAUUAAGUGUCGACAGUCACUAAAGACAAUAAUACUACCCCAAAAAUGCAUGCGAAGGCUUAAAACGUCUAUGGUGGUUUUGGCAAUAUCUUAUUAUUUGGUACUUCAGGGCUUGAAGAGUUGAAGCAGCUUUAAAUUAGAGAUCCAAAUCUUAAAGAGGUCAAGUUACGACUCCAAAAAAAGAUGCUUUUUGCACUACAAUUAUUAUUUUAGUGCACACUCAGUUUGUUUCAAAUAGGAUAGUUCAUUAUCCAUGUGUUUGUUCAACAUGAGGUUGGUUUUAUGAGCAUUUGGUGUACACUCAGUUUGUUUCAAAUGGGAUAGUCCAUUAUCCAUGUGUUUGUUCAACAUGAGGUUGGUUUUAUGAGCAUUUGGUAUAUGCAAGUUUCCUAUGUUUAAGCCUUCAAAAAGAAGACAACUAGAGAGUCAAGUGUAGCUGUAUGAAAAUUUCAUAUUGGAACUUAGAAACUUUUAUGGUGAAAAUUUCAUUUGGUGUAUGCAAGAUUCCUCGCAAUAUUACAUGCU